GAUGAACGCUGGCGGCGUGCUUAACACAUGCCAGUCGAACGAUGAAGCCCAGCUUGCUGGGUGGAUUAGUGGCGAACGGGUGAGUAACACGUGAGUAACCUGCCCUUGACUCUGGGAUAAGCCUGGGAAACUGGGUCUAAUACUGGAUAUGACUUCUCAUCGCAUGGUGGGGGGUGGAAAGAUUUAUUGGUCUUGGAUGGACUCGCGGCCUAUCAGCUUGUUGGUGAGGUAAUGGCUCACCAAGGCGACGACGGGUAGCCGGCCUGAGAGGGUGACCGGCCACACUGGGACUGAGACACGGCCCAGACUCCUACGGGAGGCAGCAGUGGGGAAUAUUGCACAAUGGGCGCAAGCCUGAUGCAGCGACGCCGCGUGAGGGAUGACGGCCUUCGGGUUGUAAACCUCUUUCGGUAGGGAAGAAGCGAGAGUGACGGUACCUGCAGAAGAAGCGCCGGCUAACUACGUG
rnacentral:rRNA from 1 species